CAGUCGACGAACUCUGGUAUUGAUUGGUGCUUGCAUCAUGAUUUACAUUUGAGUGAGUGGCGAACUGGUGAGUAACACGUGGGAAACCUGCCCAGAAGCGGGGGAUAACACCUGGAAACAGAUGCUAAUACCGCAUAACAACUUGGACCGCAUGGUCCGAGCUUGAAAGAUGGCUUCGGCUAUCACUUUUGGAUGGUCCCGCGGCGUAUUAGCUAGAUGGUGGGGUAACGGCUCACCAUGGCAAUGAUACGUAGCCGACCUGAGAGGGUAAUCGGCCACAUUGGGACUGAGACACGGCCCAAACUCCUACGGGAGGCAGCAGUAGGGAAUCUUCCACAAUGGACGAAAGUCUGAUGGAGCAACGCCGCGUGAGUGAAGAAGGGUUUCGGCUCGUAAAACUCUGUUGUUAAAGAAGAACAUAUCUGAGAGUAACUGUUCAGGUAUUGACGGUAUUUAACCAGAAAGCCACGGCUAACUACGUGCCAGCAGCCGCGGUAAUACGUAGGUGGCAAGCGUUGUCCGGAUUUAUUGGGCGUAAAGCGAGCGCAGGCGGUUUUUUAAGUCUGAUGUGAAAGCCUUCGGCUCAACCGAAGAAGUGCAUCGGAAACUGGGAAACUUGAGUGCAGAAGAGGACAGUGGAACUCCAUGUGUAGCGGUGAAAUGCGUAGAUAUAUGGAAGAACACCAGUGGCGAANGCGGCUGUCUGGUCUGUAACUGACGCUGAGGCUCGAAAGUAUGGGUAGCAAACAGGAUUAGAUACCCUGGUAGUCCAUACCGUAAACGAUGAAUGCUAAGUGUUGGAGGGUUUCCGCCCUUCAGUGCUGCAGCUAACGCAUUAAGCAUUCCGCCUGGGGAGUANGGCCGCAAGGCUGAAACUCNNGGAAUUGACGGGGGCCCGCACAAGCGGUGGANCAUGUGGUUUAAUUCGAAGCUACG
rnacentral:rRNA from 2 species